rnacentral:rRNA from 1 species
CCUACGGGAGGCUGCAGGGGGGAAUAUUGCACAAUGGGCGAAAGCCUGAUGCAGCGACGCCGCGUGAGCGAAGAAGGCCUUCGGGUCGUAAAGCUCUGUUCUAUGGGAAGAAAAAUGACGGUACCAUAGGAGGAAGCCCCGGCUAACUACGUGCCAGCAGCCGCGGUAAUACGUAGGGGGCGAGCGUUGUCCGGAAUGACUGGGCGUAAAGGGUACGUAGGCGGCUAUAUAAGUCAGAUGUGAAAGGCAUAGGCUUAACCUGUGUAAGCAUUUGAAACUGUCUAUCUUGAGUCAAGGGGAGGAAAGUGGAAUUCGUGAUGUAGCGGUGAAAUGCGUAGGUAUCAGGAGGAAUACCAGUGGCGACGGCGACUUUCUGGAGUUAGACUGACGCUGCGGUACGAAAGCGUGGGGGGCAAACAGGAUUAGAUACCCCUGUAGUC